rnacentral:rRNA from 1 species
AGUGAAGCGGGAAAAGCUCAAAUUUAAAAUCUGGUGGUUUUGCCAUCCGAGUUGUAAUCUGGAGAAGCGUUUUCUGUGCUGGACCGUGUACAAGUCUCUUGGAACAGAGCGUCAUAGAGGGUGAGAAUCCCGUCCAUGACACGGACACCCAGUGCUAUGUGAUACGUUUUCAAAGAGUCGAGUUGUUUGGGAAUGCAGCUCAAAAUGGGUGGUAAGCUCCAUCUAAAGCUAAAUAUUGGCGAGAGACCGAUAGCGAACAAGUACCGUGAGGGAAAGAUGAAAAGCACUUUGGAAAGAGAGUUAAACAGUACGUGAAAUUGUUGAAAGGGAAACGCUUGAAGUUAGUCGCGUCUUACUUGACUCAGCCUUGCUUCGGCUUGGUGUAUUUCAUGUGAGACGGGUCAACAUCGAUUUUGACCGGCAGACAAGGGGAGUAAGAAUGUGGCACUNUUCGGAGUGUGUUAUAGCUUAUUCUCAUAUGUGUCGGUUGGGAUCGAGGACCGCAGCGCGCCCUUGUGGCCGGAGGUUCGCCUCACGUUACGCGCUUAGGAUGUUGGCAUAAUGGCUUUAAGCGACCCGUCUUGAAACACGGACCAAGGAGUCUAACAUGCUCGCGAGUGUUAGGGUGGAAAACCCUUGCGCAGAAUGAAAGUAAAAGUUGGGAACCUCCGCAAGGGGGCGCACCGACGCCCGGCCCAGAAGUUUACGGACGGUGCUGCGGUNGAGCGCGUAUGUUGGGACCCGAAAGAUGGUGAACUAUGCCUGAAUAGGGCGAAGCCAGGGGAAACCCUG